CCAGAGAAACCCAUGCGUGACGGUAAACUACGCCGCCCGAUCUCCCUCCCCAUCUUCUUCCCUACCGGCGCCCCGCAGCGUCUCCCGAACUCCUCCCCCGCCUUCUUCCUCGUCGGGCCUCCUCUGCCGCUUCUUCCCCCCACCUACCUCUAGGCCAGCACCUUACCUUCAACUCGAUCCCCAUCACCACCAUUCGUCUCUAACCGUGCUCCACUGGCUCUGACGCCGGCCGAUUUGCCCUGUGGUGGUGGCUGCUGCUGGCAGAAAGCGGUCGCAUGCAACUACUAGGACCUGACCGCAUCCACCUUUCUUUUGCUAUUUUUCUUUGUUCUCCAUUCGUGAACUUUUCUUCCACAAAACCAGCUCACGUUUCUCUCUCUUGGCUAAGUCAGCCCAUUUCUCUCUCUGUUGGAUAAGUCCCCUCUCUUGCUUUUUUUGAUUGUUGUACUAAGAAAAAAACAUUCGUUCCUGGGUGAUUAAUUCAGGCCAGAUCUGGGCAGUAGCGGGCCUGCGGGUGUUGCGCACACGAGGUUCUCCCACUUGAUUUCUGUAGUGAUCUAGAUCUACACUUUCUUUAGUCUGGUUCUUGAUUUCUUGCAUUUCUCUCUCCUGUCCUUGGAUUUUUUAUCUCUUCAUCUCAUGAAUUCCAGUACCAGAGCGCCCAUGCUGGAUGGAUGGAUGAUUUUUUUUUUGAACGGCGGCGCGACGGCCACUCCCGUACCCAUUCCUCCCGCACGCCCGUUUCAUCCCUGCUCCUCCUCGCAUGGUUUUCUUUUGAUCUCAAUUUUCUUCAACACUUUUCUUCGAUCUGGAUAUCAUGUUGUUGCCGAUUCAGAUACCAUGUUGUUUUCUUGUACAUGGUUACCGAUCCAAGAUCCAGAUCCCAUGUUUUUUUAAACGAUUCAGAUCCGAUGUUCACUGAAAGAAGUUUUUUACAUGGAUUUGCUUCACCACACGGAGUUGAUUCCUUUGUACAUAGUCUGUACCCGAUCCAGAUCCUGUUAAUUUUUUUGCACAUCGCCGAUCGGGUCGGUUCUUUUGCUUCACCUUCAAUUAGGAUCAUGUUGAUUUUUGUUUGCCUCCUCCCUGCGGCAAACCGCACGGCGCCGCGUCCUGCGCAACACCACGCCGCCGGUCGGGUCGCCCGUGACCCUAAUUCCCCGCCGACGGUUGGGGCUCGCAUGUCGGGGGUGAAGAAGCCGGUAGAGGUUGGGGCUCGCAUGUCGUUCUUUUUUUGAAUCUAUUUUGUUUUCAUUUUUUUUUGUUUCCGAUCUGAAUAAUUCACGUUUGAGGGAAUCAGGUCCAUGCCGAUUUUUAAUCUGUGGCUAUUGUGGCGACCCCCGCCAGAUCUGCACGGUGAAGGAUGCCGCUGGCGGGAUCUCGGCAAGGAGACGGAGGGAGCUUGGCCAGUGUCUCCGGCGAGGUUGUUUUUUUUCUAAUGCAAGGACGGCAGAGGGAGCAGUCGUAUGCAAGUUCUAGACCAAGCUGCACCCACCAUUUUUUACUGCCUUUUUCUUAAUCUCUUUUCGUUCAUUUUCUCACCAGAAGCUAGCCCAUUAUCUCUCUGUAAUUGAUAAGUCCUCUAGCUCUUUUGCUUUCGUUUCUGUGGUUGUACUAAGAAAAACGAGCUCCACCAUGUAGAGAUAAUGUUUGGUCAUCUUGUGAUUAGCGUGAAAGUCUAUGGUGCGGGUCUCAGGCCGGGUCAUAGGCGAGAAGAGGAAGCGGCCGUCUUGGGCAUCCAGGGAGAUCCAACAUGCAGCGCAUGAAGAAACCUAGAUUCCGUCGAAUUUUUUGUUCAUGGUGUUUCCCGGAUCCAGUUCCCAUGGUCAUUGAAAUAAAUGGUAGAAAUUGGUUAA